rnacentral:rRNA from 1 species
GACGAACGCUGGCGGCGUGCCUAAUACAUGCAAGUAGAACGCUGAAGAGAGGAGCUUACUCUUCUUGGAUGAGUUGCGAACGGGUGAGUAACGCGUAGGUAACCUGCCUUGUAGCGGGGGAUAACUAUUGGAAACGAUAGCUAAUACCGCAUAACAAUGGAUGACACAUGUCAUUUAUUUGAAAGGGGCAAUUGCUCCACUACAAGAUGGACCUGCGUUGUAUUAGCUAGUAGGUGAGGUAAUGGCUCACCUAGGCGACGAUACAUAGCCGACCUGAGAGGGUGAUCGGCCACACUGGGACUGAGACACGGCCCAGAAUCCUGCGGGAGGCAGCAGUAGGGAAUCUUCGGCAAUGGGGGCAACCCUGACCGAGCAACGCCGCGUGAGUGAAGAAGGUUUUCGGAUCGUAAAGCUCUGUUGUAAGUCAAGAACGGGUGUGAGAGUGGAAAGUUCACACUGUGACGGUAGCUUACCAGAAAGGGACGGCUAACUACGUG